rnacentral:lncRNA from 1 species
AGAAAGUGUGAUAGUGGCUGUGUAGCAGAGGGGUCUUCUUUCACUAGUACAUUUGAUGUGCCAGGAGUACAUGGGUGGUGUGUGCCAAAGGACACUUGAGAUUUUUUCCAUUGUCUCAUGGUGGAAUACUGGAGGAGUAAGUGUUCCUACUUGUUAAGCAGGUAUUCUGUGUGUGCUGAAAGCAGGCCUUUCGCUGACGUGUGCGGGCAGCCAGUGCUGUGGAGCAAGGCCACCAUGGACUGUCUGCUGUUGAUGGUAAGAGUGUGCCACUCCUGUUCUUUGUCAUGGCCUCUGCUGUAAGAUGAGAGAAGUCUGACACCAGUGUGAUUCAUGACUCUUUUGUGGCCACAGCAUGUUCCGAAGAGAUGAUUGGAAGAUGGAAGUGGAGGGUUAAAUAAUGAAAUGCAGCUAACAUUUCGGAAAGUUUCUAAAAGUUGUACAACAUGCCCUACAGCUACUCUUUAAAUCUCCAAAUCAAAUGAGUUUCAGGUGGAGCCUCUGGGAGGUGAUGAGGUCAUGAGAGUGGAGCCUCAUGAAUGGGAUGAGCACUCCUACAAAAAGGAUUCCAGAGAGCUCGCUUGCUCCUUCCACAGUGUGAGGACACAGAGGGAAGGCUCUGUCUAUGAAUGAGAAAGUGGGUCCCCACCAGACAUUGAAUCUGCCGCAUCUUGAUACUGGACUUCCAGUCUCCAGAACUGUGGGCAAUAAAUGUCUGUUGUUUAUUACCUGUCCAGUAUCUUUGGUAUUUUGCUAUAGCAACCCAAAUGGACUAAGAAAACACCAGAGGCCAUACCUAAUAAAAAUAUUGACAUCACAA